CUGCCCCCUGGAGGCUCAGGAUCAAACAUGCAGCCAGGAGCCACAAGUUGGAGCUAGUCUUGCUGUUUGCAGUAUUCAUGGUCUGACUGUAGACGGUUGUUGGUGCUCUGUCCGCUGCGGCCCUCGCUGUACGUAGACGGUUGUUGGUGCUCUGUCCGCUGCGGCCCUCGCUGUACGUAGAUGGGUUAGUAAUGUUCUGUGCUGGGCUAUGCUGCUUGGUUUAUAUAGUCCCAUCAUUGUAACUCCGAUUUACAGAGAGUGAGUGAACAUCUUAUUCACAGCAUUCCAGCUUUGUGAGCGAGCAGGUAAUGAGAUGCUCUGUGUAAUCACCGGGGUGGAGUGUCCUUCAUAACACGCUCUGCGUCUCCAUAACCAGUUUUAAAGGUUUAUUAAACCAAUUAUAAAAAUAAACAUGUCACAGGCGGUUACUUCACAGAAAAUGAUCCCUCAGUGAGUGUAUAAUGAAGGAAUAACGUCAGUCAUUGAGCUACGAUUUGCAAACACCACAUUAAACUAUUAGGGGACACUAACGGAGUAAUCACCAUGGAGACCACUGGAAUUAUCAGGGACAUUCUUUUGGUUUCCAUAGUGAUUAUUCAGCUCUCAGAAUUUUUCCAUAUUUUCUGUUAGCUUUAUAAUUUUAUUAAUUUCCCACAGUGUCAACAAAGGGAGGUAACCAAGAGCCUCCGUCGCUGGCGCCCAAAGAAUGUCUUCGAAUGGGCUCUGAUGGGGAGAGAUGGCUCUGAGCAGGAAAUGGCUCUGAGGGGGGUGGAGGGAGAAGGCUCUGAUAGGGGAGAUGACUCUGAGGAGGAAAUGGCUCUGUGACAAACCCCUUUUUUUUUUUUACAGGAGUUUGCCACAAGCUCCUGGAGGAGCCUGCUUGCCAGCCUCCUGCCCACAG